AAUCCAUGAUGAGGACAUUUUCGUAUCAAAUUUCUAAAUCUUUUCCAACCUUCAUGCAAUGAUUUACAUUCUUGUUGACUAAAACUAGUUACUUCCAUUUUAAACUU